CUCAUUUUUGUUUCUGUUUCAGGUCAGUUGAAGCCAUAUCCCUACCCAUACCAUUUAGGACACAAACUAUGGCAGUUUCCAUAUAAAUUCCACUUUACUCAUGGAAAGAUGCAUAGAACACUCUUCUAUGGCUUUGUCUGGUGUCUGUUUAUACAGCAUUCUCUGCAGAUAUUUUUGAGGUCCAAGAAAAUGGAUAUAUACUGGAAGGAAAAGAGGUCACAUUAUCAACACACUUUCUUUAUGCCACCAAAGCCGCCAACAUUUGGACGCCAUUAGAGAGACAUAUGCUGACUGUUCUAGGGAUUAUAUUGUAUUGUGGUAUCUUACCACAUUGAAAAGAACUUGUGAAUUUCGUAUUUUAGUUUGGUAAUAUUAUGGGAAUGAUGAUAUUGUGAAGUUUAUAACUAUAAAAUGCCUUAGACUGAAGUAUUUAUUACCCGAAUAAAUAUAGUUUUGAGUGAAAAAAACAACAAAAGUCAUAAAAUUGAAUAAAAAAUUUAUUUGGUAAAACAA